rnacentral:rRNA from 1 species
GACGAACGCUGGCGGCGUGCCUAACACAUGCAAGUCGAGCGGGAACCUCAGGAGGGGUAACCCUCCUGAGGGGAGAGCGGCGAACGGGUGAGUAACACGUGGGCAACCUGCCCCGGACACCGGGAUAACCCAGGGAAACCUGAGCUAAUACCGGAUACUCCGGCGCGAUCGCAUGGUCGCGCCGGGAAAGCUCCGACGGUCCGGGAUGGGCCCGCGGCCUAUCAGCUUGUUGGUGGGGUAACGGCCCACCAAGGCGACGACGGGUAGCUGGUCUGAGAGGACGGCCAGCCACACUGGGACUGAGACACGGCCCAGACUCCUACGGGAGGCAGCAGUGGGGAAUCUUGCACAAUGGGCGCAAGCCUGAUGCAGCGACGCCGCGUGGGGGAUGAAGGCCUUCGGGUUGUAAACUCCUUUCGCCAUUGACGAAGCCCUUUGGGGUGACGGUAGGUGGAGAAGAAGCACCGGCUAACUACGUGCCAGCAGCCGCAGUAAAAC